CAAAAACCCCAUUUCCCUCCUCUUUGUGGUGCUUGAUGGAGAACUGAAACCAAGAAAUAGAAGCGAGAGAAGUGGAGAGUGGUGGUCAUCGGGGAUGUUACAGCCGACGAGUAGAGGCGUCGGUGGUCCGAAUGAGGCUGGUGGUGGUCGGACUCCAUUCUAUGACAACCUUAAACCUCGAAUUUCUAUCAUAGAUUCAGUUCAUGGAAGAGAAUCUGUAAAACAGGUAAUCAUCAGCUUUUGAGGCCGGAGCGCUAAGGCAUUAGUUCCAAACAUCAUUUUGUCAUCAUAUUAUAAUUUAUUUGGAAACAUGUAACUUUUGAAACAAUGUAACCUUUUAAAUUAUAUCUAUAUUGGUUGUGUU